rnacentral:sRNA from 1 species
GGCUGGUGCAGUGAAGCCUGCACAGGGUGGAAGUGGGCACCACUGUCCCAGGGGAGCCCCCAGGGACUCUGGUCACUGGGCUUGCCGCUGGCAUGCUCAGUCCUCCAGCACUUACUGACACCAGCAUCUACCAACACCAACAUUUACAUUGACCAACACCGACAUUUACCAAUACUGACAUUUACCGACACCGACAUUUACCGACACCGACAUUUACCGACACCAGCAUUUACCAAUGCCAAUAUUUACUGACCCCAACAUUUAGCCAUGUGAUGGGGGCCGGCUUGGGGACGGGCCUUGCUCUUAGCAGUGGGGAUGCCACAGAAACUAGACAGAUGCAUGGGGUCAUGGACUUCUGCUUCUUCUCCAGCCUCAUGUACUGGAUAGACUGGGGAGAGAACCCUGAAAUCAAGCGUGCCAACCUGGACAGGCAGGAGCUGCGCGUGCUGGUCAGUGCUUCCCUUGGGUGGCCCAACGGCCUGGCCCUGGACCUGCAGGAAGGGAAGCUGUACUGGGGAGAUGCCAAGACAGACAAGAUCGAGGUGAUCAGUGUCGAUGAGAUGAAGAGGCAGACCCUCCUGAAGGACAAGCUCCCACA